GUGUUCACUUUAUCAGUACAUGUACUACAACUGGAACAACACAGAGAUUAGCAUGGCUGCUGCACAAAGAUGACAUGCAGAUUCGUGAAACAUUCCAUAGUUUU
ensembl:snRNA U6 U6 spliceosomal RNA